AUUGAACGCUGGCGGCAUGCCUUACACAUGCAAGUCGAACGGCAGCACGGGGGCAACCCUGGUGGCGAGUGGCGAACGGGUGAGUAAUACAUCGGAACGUGUCCUGGAGUGGGGGAUAGCCCGGCGAAAGCCGGAUUAAUACCGCAUACGCUCUAUGGAGGAAAGCGGGGGAUCUUCGGACCUCGCGCUCAAGGGGCGGCCGAUGGCGGAUUAGCUAGUUGGUAGGGUAAAGGCCUACCAAGGCGACGAUCCGUAGCUGGUCUGAGAGGACGACCAGCCACACUGGGACUGAGACACGGCCCAGACUCCUACGGGAGGCAGCAGUGGGGAAUUUUGGACAAUGGGGGCAACCCUGAUCCAGCAAUGCCGCGUGUGUGAAGAAGGCCUUCGGGUUGUAAAGCACUUUUGUCCGGAAAGAAAUCCUCUGGGUUAAUACCUCGGGGGGAUGACGGUA
rnacentral:rRNA from 1 species